AUAUAACCAAUUAGGUUGAAGUACAACAGUUAUGAACAAUAUCACUAUUUUUGGUCAAGUGGAUGGGGACUUACACCGAACCGUUCGAUUUCUUCAAGAAAGAAAUGUUAAUGUUGUUAUUCGCGAUGAGCGUGACCUUAAUACUAUUUGCAUUCAUGAGAUAAG